rnacentral:miRNA from 1 species
UGGCUCACUUCUAAACACUAACAAACUCUAUUAGACUAGAUUAUAUAUAUAUAUAAUCUAGUCUAAUAGAGUUUGUUAGUGUUUAGAAGUGAGCCAUGCACCACAAG